rnacentral:lncRNA from 1 species
UAAAGUUGGUAUUUACAUCCCAAUAUUGAUAAGUAAUCAUGCUUUGAUUACUUGUUAUCUUGAAUUAAUUUUUACAUGGUAAUCAAUUUAUAAGGAACAUUUUCUUAAAGUUUUACCAAUUUAACCAAUAUGGGACUUGGAGACAACCAAAUAGGCAAAUAAUAAGGGCUUCACUUGGUAGUAAUGUAGUAUGCCAUCUCUUGUCUAAUAAGUCCCAUAUUGAAUGACCACUACUGCAUGUAAGGAAGCCACACCAAAUUUCAAAACAUCCAAUAUUGUCUAGUAUGCC